rnacentral:misc_RNA from 1 species
UACGUAGGUGGCAAGCGUUGUCCGGAUUUACUGGGCGUAAAGGGCGUGUAGGCGGGUGAGUAAGUCAGAUGUGAAAUACCGGGGCUCAACCCCGGGGCUGCAUUUGAAACUACUUAUCUUGAGUAUCGGAGAGGAAAGCGGAAUUCCCAGUGUAGCGGUGAAAUGCGUAGAUAUUGGGAGGAACACCAGUGGCGAAGGCGGCUUUCUGGACGACAACUGACGCUGAGGCGCGAAAGCGUGGGUAGCAAACAGG